rnacentral:rRNA from 1 species
CAGCAGCCGCGGUAAGACGAACCGACCGAACGUUAUUCGGAAUUACUGGGCUUAAAGGGUGCGUAGGCGGCCUUGUAAGUCAGAUGUGAAAUCCCACGGCUCAACCGUUGAACUGCGUUUGAAACUACAAGGCUUGAGGGAGAUAGGGGUGAGCGGAACUGAUGGUGGAGCGGUGAAAUGCGUUGAUAUCAUCAGGAACACCGGUGGCGAAGGCGGCUCACUGGGUCUCUUCUGACGCUGAGGCACGAAAGCUAGGGGAGCGAACGGGAUUAGAUACCCCCGUAGUCCCUGUCUCUUAUAC